rnacentral:rRNA from 1 species
AUCCGGGUUGCGGACAGUGUCUGGUGGGUAGUUUGACUGGGGCGGUCUCCUCCUAAAGAGUAACGGAGGAGCACGAAGGUUGGCUAAUCCUGGUCGGACAUCAGGAGGUUAGUGCAAUGGCAUAAGCCAGCUUGACUGCGAGCGUGACGGCGCGAGCAGGUGCGAAAGCAGGUCAUAGUGAUCCGGUGGUUCUGAAUGGAAGGGCCAUCGCUCAACGGAUAAAAGGUACUCCGGGGAUAACAGGCUGAUACCGCCCAAGAGUUCAUAUCGACGGCGGUGUUUGGCACCUCGAUGUCGGCUCAUCACAUCCUGGGGCUGAAGUAGGUCCCAAGGGUAUGGCUGUUCGCCAUUUAAAGUGGUACGCGAGCUGGGUUUAGAACGUCGUGAGACAGUUCGGUCCCUAUCUGCCGUGGGCGCUGGAGAACUGAGGGGGGCUGCUCCUAGUACGAGAGGACCGGAGUGGACGCAUCACUGGUGUUCGGGUUGUCAUGCCAAUGGCACUGCCCGGUAGCUAAAUGCGGAAGAGAUAAGUGCUGAAAGCAUCUAAGC